GGGUUGUGAGGUUAAGCGACUAAGCGUACACGGUGGAUGCCCUGGCAGUCAGAGGCGAUGAAGGACGUGCUAAUCUGCGAUAAGCGUCGGUAAGGUGAUAUGAACCGUUAUAACCGGCGAUUUCCGAAUGGGGAAACCCAGUGUGAUUCGUCACACUAUCAUUAACUGAAUCCAUAGGUUAAUGAGGCGAACCGGGGGAACUGAAACAUCUAAGUACCCCGAGGAAAAGAAAUCAACCGAGAUUCCCCCAGUAGCGGCGAGCGAACGGGGAGCAGCCCAGAGCCUGAAUCAGUGUGUGUGUUAGUGGAAGCGUCUGGAAAGGCGCGCGAUACAGGGUGACAGCCCCGUACACAAAAAUGCACAUACUGUGAGCUCGAUGAGUAGGGCGGGACACGUGGUAUCCUGUCUGAAUAUGGGGGGACCAUCCUCCAAGGCUAAAUACUCCUGACUGACCGAUAGUGAACCAGUACCGUGAGGGAAAGGCGAAAAGAACCCCGGCGAGGGGAGUGAAAAAGAACCUGAAACCGUGUACGUACAAGCAGUGGGAGCACGCUUAGGCGUGUGACUGCGUACCUUUUGUAUAAUGGGUCAGCGACUUAUAUUCUGUAGCAAGGUUAACCGAAUAGGGGAGCCGAAGGGAAACCGAGUCUUAACUGGGCGUUAAGUUGCAGGGUAUAGACCCGAAACCCGGUGAUCUAGCCAUGGGCAGGUUGAAGGUUGGGUAACACUAACUGGAGGACCGAACCGACUAAUGUUGAAAAAUUAGCGGAUGACUUGUGGCUGGGGGUGAAAGGCCAAUCAAACCGGGAGAUAGCUGGUUCUCCCCGAAAGCUAUUUAGGUAGCGCCUCGUGAAUUCAUCUCCGGGGGUAGAGCACUGUUUCGGCAAGGGGGUCAUCCCGACUUACCAACCCGAUGCAAACUGCGAAUACCGGAGAAUGUUAUCACGGGAGACACACGGCGGGUGCUAACGUCCGUCGUGAAGAGGGAAACAACCCAGACCGCCAGCUAAGGUCCCAAAGUCAUGGUUAAGUGGGAAACGAUGUGGGAAGGCCCAGACAGCCAGGAUGUUGGCUUAGAAGCAGCCAUCAUUUAAAGAAAGCGUAAUAGCUCACUGGUCGAGUCGGCCUGCGCGGAAGAUGUAACGGGGCUAAACCAUGCACCGAAGCUGCGGCAGCGACGCUUAUGCGUUGUUGGGUAGGGGAGCGUUCUGUAAGCCUGUGAAGGUGUACUGUGAGGUAUGCUGGAGGUAUCAGAAGUGCGAAUGCUGACAUAAGUAACGAUAAAGCGGGUGAAAAGCCCGCUCGCCGGAAGACCAAGGGUUCCUGUCCAACGUUAAUCGGGGCAGGGUGAGUCGACCCCUAAGGCGAGGCCGAAAGGCGUAGUCGAUGGGAAACAGGUUAAUAUUCCUGUACUUGGUGUUACUGCGAAGGGGGGACGGAGAAGGCUAUGUUGGCCGGGCGACGGUUGUCCCGGUUUAAGCGUGUAGGCUGGUUUUCCAGGCAAAUCCGGAAAAUCAAGGCUGAGGCGUGAUGACGAGGCACUACGGUGCUGAAGCAACAAAUGCCCUGCUUCCAGGAAAAGCCUCUAAGCAUCAGGUAACAUCAAAUCGUACCCCAAACCGACACAGGUGGUCAGGUAGAGAAUACCAAGGCGCUUGAGAGAACUCGGGUGAAGGAACUAGGCAAAAUGGUGCCGUAACUUCGGGAGAAGGCACGCUGAUAUGUAGGUGAAGUCCCUCGCGGAUGGAGCUGAAAUCAGUCGAAGAUACCAGCUGGCUGCAACUGUUUAUUAAAAACACAGCACUGUGCAAACACGAAAGUGGACGUAUACGGUGUGACGCCUGCCCGGUGCCGGAAGGUUAAUUGAUGGGGUCAGCGCAAGCGAAGCUCUUGAUCGAAGCCCCGGUAAACGGCGGCCGUAACUAUAACGGUCCUAAGGUAGCGAAAUUCCUUGUCGGGUAAGUUCCGACCUGCACGAAUGGCGUAAUGAUGGCCAGGCUGUCUCCACCCGAGACUCAGUGAAAUUGAACUCGCUGUGAAGAUGCAGUGUACCCGCGGCAAGACGGAAAGACCCCGUGAACCUUUACUAUAGCUUGACACUGAACAUUGAGCCUUGAUGUGUAGGAUAGGUGGGAGGCUUUGAAGUGUGGACGCCAGUCUGCAUGGAGCCGACCUUGAAAUACCACCCUUUAAUGUUUGAUGUUCUAACGUUGACCCGUGAUCCGGGUUGCGGACAGUGUCUGGUGGGUAGUUUGACUGGGGCGGUCUCCUCCUAAAGAGUAACGGAGGAGCACGAAGGUUGGCUAAUCCUGGUCGGACAUCAGGAGGUUAGUGCAAUGGCAUAAGCCAGCUUGACUGCGAGCGUGACGGCGCGAGCAGGUGCGAAAGCAGGUCAUAGUGAUCCGGUGGUUCUGAAUGGAAGGGCCAUCGCUCAACGGAUAAAAGGUACUCCGGGGAUAACAGGCUGAUACCGCCCAAGAGUUCAUAUCGACGGCGGUGUUUGGCACCUCGAUGUCGGCUCAUCACAUCCUGGGGCUGAAGUAGGUCCCAAGGGUAUGGCUGUUCGCCAUUUAAAGUGGUACGCGAGCUGGGUUUAGAACGUCGUGAGACAGUUCGGUCCCUAUCUGCCGUGGGCGCUGGAGAACUGAGGGGGGCUGCUCCUAGUACGAGAGGACCGGAGUGGACGCAUCACUGGUGUUCGGGUUGUCAUGCCAAUGGCACUGCCCGGUAGCUAAAUGCGGAAGAGAUAAGUGCUGAAAGCAUCUAAGCACGAAACUUGCCCCGAGAUGAGUUCUCCCUGACUCCUUGAGAGUCCUGAAGGAACGUUGAAGACGACGACGUUGAUAGGCCGGGUGUGUAAGCGCAGCGAUGCGUUGAGCUAACCGGUACUAAUGAACCGUGAGGCUUAACCUUACAACGCCGAAGGUGUUU
rnacentral:rRNA from 1 species